rnacentral:rRNA from 1 species
AGAGUUUGAUCAUGGCUCAGGAUGAACGCUGGCGGCGUGCCUAACACAUGCAAGUCGAGCGAUGAAAUCCUUCGGGAUGGAUUAGCGGCGGACGGGUGAGUAACACGUGGGUAACCUGCCUCAUAGAGGGGAAUAGCCUUUCGAAAGGAAGAUUAAUACCGCAUAAGAUUGCAGCUUCGCAUGAAGCAGCAAUUAAAGGAGUAAUCCGCUAUGAGAUGGACCCGCGUCGCAUUAGCUAGUUGGUGAGGUAACGGCUCACCAAGGCGACGAUGCGUAGCCGACCUGAGAGGGUGAUCGGCCACAUUGGGACUGAGACACGGCCCAGACUCCUACGGGAGGCAGCAGUGGGGAAUAUUGCACAAUGGGGGAAACCCUGAUGCAGCAACGCCGCGUGAGUGAUGAAGGUCUUCGGAUUGUAAAACUCUGUCUUUGGGGACGAUAAUGACGGUACCCAAGGAGGAAGCCACGGCUAACUACGUGCCAGCAGCCGCGGUAAUACGUAGGUGGCAAGCGUUGUCCGGAUUUACUGGGCGUAAAGGGAGCGUAGGUGGAUAUUUAAGUGGGAUGUGAAAUGCUCGGGCUUAACCUGAGUGCUGCAUUCCAAACUGGAUAUCUAGAGUGCAGGAGAGGAAAGUGGAAUUCCACGUGUAGCGGUGAAAUGCGUAGAGAUGUGGAGGAACACCAGUGGCGAAGGCGGCUUUCUGGUCUGUAACUGACGCUGAGGCGCGAAAGCGUGGGGAGCGAACAGGAUUAGAUACCCUGGUAGUCCACGCCGUAAACGAUGAGUGCUAAGUGUUAGGGGGUUUCCGCCCCUUAGUGCUGCAGCUAACGCAUUAAGCACUCCCCCUGGGGAGUACGGCCGCAAGGCUGAACUCAAAGGAAUUGAC